rnacentral:rRNA from 1 species
CUACGGGAGGCAGCAGUGGGGAAUAUUGCCCAAUGGGCGGAAGCCUGAUGCAGCGACGCCGCGUGAGGGAUGACGGCCUUCGGGUUGUAAACCUCUUUCAGUAGGGAAGAAGCGAGAGUGACGGUACCUGCAGAAGAAGCGCCGGCUAACUACGUGCCAGCAGCCGCGGUAAUACGUAGGGCGCAAGCGUUGUCCGGAAUUAUUGGGCGUAAAGAGCUCGUAGGCGGUUUGUCGCGUCUGCUGUGAAAGCCCGGGGCUCAACCCCGGGUCUGCAGUGGGUACGGGCAGACUAGAGUGCAGUAGGGGAGACUGGAAUUCCUGGUGUAGCGGUGAAAUGCGCAGAUAUCAGGAGGAACACCGAUGGCGAAGGCAGGUCUCUGGGCUGUUACUGACGCUGAGGAGCGAAAGCAUGGGGAGCGAACAGGAUUAGAUACCCUGGUAGUCCAUGCCGUAAACGUUGGGCACUAGGUGUGGGGGACAUUCCACGUUUUCCGCGCCGUAGCUAACGCAUUAAGUGCCCCGCCUGGGGAGUACGGCCGCAAGGCUAAAACUCAAAGGAAUUGACGGGGGCCCGCACAAGCGGCGGAGCAUGCGGAUUAAUUCGAUGCAACGCGAAGAACCUUACCAAGGCUUGACAUUCACCGGACCGCCCCAGAGAUGGGGUUUCCCUUCGGGGCUGGUGGACAGGUGGUGCAUGGUUGUCGUCAGCUCGUGUCGUGAGAUGUUGGGUUAAGUCCCGCAACGAGCGCAACCCUCGUUCUAUGUUGCCAGCACGUGAUGGUGGGGACUCAUAGGAGACUGCCGGGGUCAACUCGGAGGAAGGUGGGGAUGACGUCAAAUCAUCAUGCCCCUUAUGUCUUGGGCUUCACGCAUGCUACAAUGGCCGGUACAAAGGGUUGCGAUACUGUGAGGUGGAGCUAAUCCCAAAAAGCCGGUCUCAGUUCGGAUUGAGGUCUGCAACUCGACCUCAUGAAGUCGGAGUCGCUAGUAAUCGCAGAUCAGCAACGCUGCGGUGAAUACGUUCCCGGGCCUUGUACACACCGCCCGUCAAGUC